UAAGGAAGCACCUGUAUUUUGUGUGGCCUGUGAAGAGAGGAAUUUGACUCAGGAAUGCAGAUAUUUCUAAUUAAGAGAGGAGGAUGAAGAUUCCAUUCCAGGGAAAGUUUACAUAGGAACUUUGUACUCAACAUUGAAUGAAUGUCCCAGGCAGGAGUGGCGAGCUCUUGAAAAUCUUGACCCUCAUUAAAAAUCUUCUGGAAGGAUGGACAGUUUGAUGUCAGGGCUGAAUUACAUCUUGAAAUCAUAGUCCAAAGUAGGCUACCUGAGGAUAACCUUAUACUCUCGGAACUUCAGUUUCCUAUUCUAUAAAAUGGGAUGACAAUGGCUGAGAGGACCA